rnacentral:lncRNA from 1 species
GAAAAUGUCCGACAUCUUUCAUUUAUUUAAUCUGCAAAACUCAUUUAAAAAAUACUUCUUCCUAAUGGCCAUGGUUAUGUGACCCCUAUAAGAUAGCCUUAUGCAGUCUCUCAUCAGAACAAAGUAGGCCAUUCUGCAGGCAUCCAGCAGUCUUUCUGGCCACAGCUGGAAGUUCCCUCCUUGCAAAUGGACUUUGCCUCAUUCCUGUUAAUCUUUUCCAAAGCUAAAAUUCAAAGACUAUUCUUCAUGUCUUCCAAUGCCUCCCUUCCUUGUUCUUUUUACAAAUGUCUUUCCAUCUUUUUCUAUUUGCAAUGAUAAGACUUAAAAAGAGCCAUUGGGCUAAAAAUUCCUGACAUAAAAGGAAAUAGAGUGGAAGGACUAAAGUUUCCAAAGAGGGUACUUCAUAAAUCAGAGUAAUCACCCUAAUGACCAACUUGAAAAAGACAUAAUAGAUUUCAAGUAUUUCUGUUUUCUCCUUUAGGUGAAACAGGGAAAUUCCAACUGAUUGCCUGGAAAAUUGCUUCAGUCUUCUAGCUCCCUUGAAGGCAACUUUGAAUUGAGCAGAUACACAAAAACAUUCUGUCUUCUGAAAUUUUAAUCUGUGCAAGAUUAUUUUACAACUACACAUAUUGAUAAUAAAGCAAUUUCUCCAAGUGGGACACAUCAGAUAAAAUGGUGUUUGUAUAUUUCUCUCACAUUACUUUUUUCUAUUUAUUGAAAGCCCAUUCUGUCACUAGAAUGAAUCUCUAUCACCCCUGUUAUUCCUUUUCUGCCAAUAUCCUUUAAAAAAAUUCACUGAUGACAUUCAGGGUGAAAUUCAUUUUAGGCUGAAUUUGAAAAAUAAAUAAAGGUGUCCAGGUGCAAAUGCAAGCCUUAAAUUGUACAUUUUUGGCAGGCAUACGUAAUUCAUAUAUAACCUAGCAUCUGUAAAUAUAAAAGUAG